rnacentral:rRNA from 1 species
GACGAACGCUGGCGGCGUGCUUAACACAUGCAAGUCGAACGGAAAGGCCCUGCUUUUGUGGGGUGCUCGAGUGGCGAACGGGUGUGUAACACGUGAGUAACCUGCCCUUGACUUUGGGAUAACUUCAGGAAACUGGGGCUAAUACCGGAUAGGAGCUCCUGCUGCAUGGUGGGGGUUGGAAAGUUUCGGCGGUUGGGGAUGGACUCGCGGCUUAUCAGCUUGUUGGUGGGGUAGUGGCUUACCAAGGCUUUGACGGGUAGCCGGCCUGAGAGGGUGAACGGCCACAUUGGGACUGAGAUACGGACCAGACUCCUACGGGAGGCAGCAGUGGGGAAUAUUGCACAAUGGGCGGAAGCCUGAUGCAGCAACGCCGCGUGCGGGAUGACGGCCUUCGGGUUGUAAACCGCUUUCGCCUGUGACGAAGCGUGAGUGACGGUAAUGGGUAAAGAAGCACCGGCUAACUACGUG